UUGAACCCGGUUCCACUGGAAGAGCAGUCAGUGCUCUUAACCUCUGAGCCAUCUCUCCAGCCCCAUAAAUAUUUGAGACUAAAUUUGAUUGCUCGCUCAGACAAAAACAAGCGCCGCCCAACGUGGGGCUCGAACCCACGACCCUGGGAUUAAGAGUCCCAUGCUCUACCGACUGAGCUAGCCGGGCAGGCGAGAUGCAACUUUCUAUCCAAGGACUAAAACGAAUGAAGCAGAAGCAGCAUGGAGAAGCCCAAAGGUAAGCUUCACACGGCUGUUAAUAAUUCCAGGGACAGAAACAGGCUCAUAACUUGGAACAAAAUCACCACGUACACUCUGCACUGCUAGUGGCAGCUCCCCCUCCACGGUGCUCCAAAGAGACCUUUCAGACAACCGACCAUACAACCCUCACGCUAUUUAUGUGAGAGCUGCGUGGCAACAAAGGCAGUCAUCGCCUCCAUCCUUUGACCUGGGAGACACGAUUUGGUUUCUUCCCAUAGGUCUGUCGGUCACGGUCUGCCGCCAUUUGAUGACGGCUUCUUCUGAAAGAUCAACAUGAGGACGGUGUGAAGAUCUGAACGGAGGAGCGUGGAGGCCAUCCUUCUUUCUUUGGAGAAUGAGACAAAAAGAAAUUAAAAUUCCAUCAUUUUGCUGA